rnacentral:lncRNA from 1 species
UUUGGGGGGUGCUUAUUAGUUGAAUUAGUAAACUUUCUUAUAUUAAGAUCUAAAGUUAGAACCUUACUCGUAAGCAGAGAGAGGAGAUUGAAAUGUCGUAAUGCUAAAUAAUUAUAUAUAUAUAUUACAAAACAAUUGAUUUUAGAUACUAGUAGUACCUUAGAUAUUUUCCAUUGAAAAUUUGACCAAAUUUAAUUUUUAGAAAUAAGGUGGAUAUGUGGUUGUGAUGUUAACACGUAAGCAGGCAAUUAUUCAAUAAACUUUUUCCAUAUGCACUAGCAAUAAUGCUAUAUUUUAGUCUUAUUUUGUGUUGUAACUUUUAAGCUGUAAUUACUAUAAAAAAAAUUGUAGUAAUAAAAUAAAAAUUAAUAGUGUAUAGUAAAUAUGACUAUUAAAUAAUAAUGUUAACAAAAAUAGUAAAGAUAUUAAAGUUUUUAACGUAAAAAUAACUGAUCAAAUUAAUUUACUUUUCAAUUUACAGUAACUAGUGUUUAAUAAACACUUUAGUGUUGUAGUUUUUAAACUAUAAUUGUCUAACCUCAAUACUAAAUGGGACCUUACUAAGUUUAGAUACUUAAUUAGGAUACUUGCUGAUGUGUCAUCAAUCAUUUAAUGCCAUGUGUAUGAUAAUAAUUGAUUUUAUUAUCAAUUAUUAAUCUAUUAUUUUUAUAACUCAAUUAAUGGUUGACACAUAAUAUGCCAUAUUAUUAAGUAUCCUAAUUAAACAUCCAAAGAGAAGGAAGCAUAACAUUACUCAUACACUAAUUACUAAAUUUAAAAUCAUCAUAAAUAUGUGAAAUUACGUUGGAUGUUGAUGUGCUCACAAUUGAUGAUGUUAACACCACUAGACUUUCUUGGUAGGGUGUGAGACUGCGACUCUGAAUAUAUGUAGUGUAUAUACUUCAAUCAAACUUUCCAUUUUUCAAUUUUAUUUAUGCUGGUUUCGUCGCAAUUUCCAAUAAUAUUACAACUUUUUAAAAAGCAAUCCGUGACACCUAGAUAUUUUGCACAAACGAAUGUAAUUAGCAAUUAGCGGUGUGUUUGCCUCUUGGAAAGGGAUUGAGAUUCUCUUGCGUUAUUGAUAAUGUUUAUUUGCUAUAAAAGGAACCGGAAUGAAUUUUAAAUGGGAUCCACAAAUUUUAAGAAAUAAGAAUUACAUUUUUAUAGAGAAUUUGAGAAUGAAAAUGAGAUAAUGAGAACGGAGAGUGUAUUGAUAUUUUUACACAUAAAUAGAAUAAAAAAUUCAUUUUACCCAUUUAAAUACUAGAUGAUGAUGAUGAUGCUGAUAAUAAUAAUAAUAAUAAUUACAGUAAAAAUAUUUGCUCUUUAUUUUGUUAGUGAACAAAUACAUAAUUAUAACUACGAGUAUUUUAAUAACUUGUGACAAUUCAUUCCGAUUACAAGAUAAAAUAAACAUAUUAAUAGAAAUAUAACUCUAUCUUUAAUUCUGAUUCUGUUUCUGAUUCUUGUAACUCAAGUUAAUAAUUUACUAUUAUUUUUAUUCAUCAUCUUGAUUCCAACUUAUUCUAUUCAUACUCAUUCCUUCCGAUUCCGAAAAAUUAAAGAACCGUAAGUCUGUUGUGAUGAACACGUAUAGGACACUCUCUUAAGCUUUGCCAAUGGAGUCAAGGUUAAGUCAAAAUACCCUUUUACGGUUAAAGCCGAAAUUCAUACAGUGGAUUUUGUAAAUUCUGAAAAAGUGAUAGGCCCACAGCAACAUUAACAGCGAGCCAGCAAGCUCCCCCACCAUCCUCUCAUCAAAUUAGCAAACGCUUUUUCAGUAGCAUCUCAUGAUAGUAAUAGUCUUUUGUUUCUUUUUUCGUCGGCAAUUGACUUUUCUUUUCCGUGAUAAAAACCCAGGCAAAACUUACAUCUAUUAAGUAAUUUAAGGAACUAACAGAGGGAAAUAAAAAUAAUCCUGAUGGAGAACAACCCUAGUUCCUCUAGAACUGACAGAAAAACCAUUGAGAGAAAUAGAAGAAAUCAAAUGAAGGCCCUUUACUCCACUCUCAAUUCUAUUGUGCCCCAUCAAAGACCUAUGGUAUAUAUCUCUCUCUCAACAACAUUAAUUUUCUAACUGAUCAUUUCUGUUUUUCUUUUCGGUUUAAUCAACAUGGAGUUGCAGGAAGCGACAUCACUACCUGAUCAGCUAGAUGAAGCUACCAAGUACAUAAAGAGGUUACAGACAAACUUGGAGAGAAUGAAGGAGAGAAAAGAGAGGUUAAUGGGAAUUGAAAAGCCUGAUGCAGCUGCACCCACAAGCAGCAGUGGGAAUAGUAGUGGAACAAUAACGACCGGGUUAAGGUCACCGCAAAUUGAGAUUCACGAAAUGGGUUCGGCUUUGGAGGUGGUUUUGACAACUGGGUUGGAUUUUCAGUUCAUGUUUAUUGAGACUAUUCGCUUGCUCCACGAAGAAGGUGUUGAAAUAGUCAAUGCCAGUUUCAAUGUUGUUGAAGAUACCAUCUUUCACACAAUACAUUCUAAGGUAUUAUUAAUUAAGUUGCACAAACAUAUUACAUAUAUAACAAUCAUCUUUAGGUUUUCUAAUUAAGAAUGUUUCAGUGGUUUACAAAUUUCUUUUGGCUGUUUAAAUUGUGAAGCAGAUUGGAGAUUCUGGGUCGGACCAUGAUGCUUCAGCAAGGAUAUCAGAGAGACUGAAGAAGUUUGGCCAAGAUGGUAGUGCAUUUUGAAGUAUACGGUAAGAUGCAUGAUUCCUUUUUUAUGGAGGAAGCAUGUAAGGUUCAUCACUCAAUAUAUUUGCAUCAAUAUGAUCUAGAAACCUAAAUGCUCUAAUUAAAAAGUGUGCCCAUUGAGGAUUUUUUGUUCUUAGUAGUCUUUCCAUCUUGGUUUUUGUGUUGAUGCAGUUGAAAAAAAGAACUGUAUUUGACUGUCUAGCUAUCGACACAAUAACCCUAGCUAAUUAAAGUGUGAUUAGAGUUCUGUGUGUUAUUAAUUAAUUCUAGUUAAACUACGGCUAGUGCAGCAGCUUUUGAAUAUUUCAUCUGGUAAUGUGUUCAGACGACUAUUUGCUUUCAAAUGCUACGAUAAUUGCUUGAUUAAUAUUGGAUUACACUUAGUUGCUUGAUUAAUUUUGGGUUACACUUAAUUUGAUGAUCAUAAUGUGGAUUUGAUAAAGCUAGCGUUAAUUAUUUAUGCUUCUGCUGGUUAUAUCUUAUUGGCUACAAAUGGGCACAUUUGGUCUCGUCUGUUUAGAUUAAUAUAUAAAAAUCUUGACCUCUCAAUGUUCCUUGUUCAUCACAUGUUGACGUUGACAUUCCUUCCAUUCUUAUAUUAAAUAGCUAGAUUAACAUGUAAUGUUUACAUACAAGUACAGCAUGUAUCUUCUAAAUUGUUAGAGGAGAUAAUCAAUUUGGUUGCGACUUUUGAAUUUGAGAUUGGUAACGGAAAAUCAUGUUUGUAUUCAACUUAUAUAUACAAUAGAUAUAUAUGGCUACUAGUUUUGAAGACUUUAGCAAGAUGAGUGGCAACUGGCAAGAGUAUAAAGAUCUUCUAAAUGUGUCAAAUUGUUUGUAAAAUUAGAUACACUUUUUUUUAGGUGUGAAAAAAUGAUUUUUUUUUUUUUUUUUUUUGAAAGAGUGAAAAAAUGAGUUUAUUUCCUUCUUCUUCCUUUUUUUUUUUUUUCCUUUCUUUUUCCCCACUUCAAAGAUGAUUGAUGACUGGUCAUUUAUAUGUUUGAAGCAGUCAAGAAGACUGACAUGGGAUGAAGUCAUGAAGGGUAUUGAAGGGAUAUGUUGUUGAAGGAUUGCACGCAUAAAUAUAAUAUUUGAUUCUCGCGGGUCCAUUUCCUCAUGAGGCCAUAUUUGCAAUUUAAUUUUAGAGCAUAAAAUAUUUUUUCAUGAUCAAAUAAAUCAGAAAGUAGAAAUUUAAACGAGUAUUGAUUCUUCUGAGCUGAGGAAAAUAUUUAAGUGACAGAGAAUAGAGUUUCAUUUAUUUUUUUUCCCCCUCAACUACUUGUGCUAGAAAAUAAAUAAAGUCUAAGUCAAUCUGAACACAAUAAUGUUUACAGUUACAUAAUUUGUAUUUAACUAAUAAUAUCACUAGACAUCCCAUGUUGAAAUUAAUUUAGGCUUUUUCAAGUUUUCAAACCAACAGGACCCAUUCCUCUUUGCGUUGUAGUGGUCUAGUUACACAACACUGCUCAUCUUUAUAUAUGCUAUCGUGGUAAUUUGGGUGCAUUUGGCCUGCCGGAUUAAAUUAGAUAUGAUAGUAUUAGGUUAACUAGGAUUGUACUGGAUAUUAAAUAGCCAGAUUGCUAGAACAUGCAAUGUUCACAAGCGACUGCAUGCAUAUUAUUCUAAAUCCUACACUUUAGAAUUUGAGAUUGGUAUGAGAAAUCAAAUCAUGUUUGCAAUCAGCUUAUAAAACAUUUAUUAUAUGGCCACAGAUUUUGAAGACUCCGGGAAGAUGAGUGACAACUAGCAAAAGUUAAAGAAUAUUUCUAUGUCAAAAUUGCUUGUAAAUUCAGAUGCACUUUGGUUUAAGGUGUGAGAGAAUGAGUUUGCUUCUUUAUUAAUUUCUUCCUUUUUAAUUAAACCCGUCGAAGAUUAUUGAUGUCUGGCCAUAUGUUUGCAUGUUAAAAGCGCUAAUGCAAGUCUUCAGACACAAUUGCAUAUUAAUUGAUGUAUUAAUUAAUGAGAAGAGACAUUUUAGUAAUAAAGUCAAUUAAUAUUGCACGUAGAGGUUUAUUUCAUCAUAUUAUGUACAACAGAACAGAAUAAUGCAUAAAGGGCAACAGUGUAUGUUGCCAUGCAAUGCGAUAUAUAUAUAUAUAGAAAAAGAAAAAAAAAAAGGUGCCACAUGGUUACUGUUUUAAUUUUUCCUUCAAGACUAGAAACUUAGAAAGUAAAAUAAAAUGGAGCGUAAAUCUGAAUGCAUUGGCUUAUAUGAUUAUGGCCAUAGCAGAAGAGAUCUCCUUCCUUAUCCACUCAUUUUGUGGCUACAUCAAUUCCAGUGCUGGUAAUCAGUAAUCAGUGUAGCUAAUAAAUAAAAGCAUAUUACCCAGUUUUGAGGCACGCAAGGCUGCUUCGAGUUUUCAAAUCAAUGGUGGGGUUGGUGGGAUCCAUCCCCUGUGUUGUUGUGGUCAGGGUUCAAACUUCAAAAUGUUUAUCCAUACACUACGCAAUUAUACUACGACACUGCUCAGUGCCAAGUUUAGGAGAGAUUUAUAAACAGUUAUAAUGUAUUACAAUUAACUAAUGGGGGUGGGCGUUGGUUAGGAUCGAUUUCGUUUUGGAAUAAAUUUUUUAUUUCGGUUUAAUUCGGAUUUGAAAUUUAAAAAAAAAUCAUCCAGUCUUUAAGGAUAAUAAAAAUAGAAUCGAAACUAAUAGUUUAGUUUGGUACGAUUUCUCAAUUUUUCAGUUCGGUUUUAAUUUUUUAGUUUGGUUUUGAUUUUUCGGUGAUGGUUUAGAUUAACAAAUUAAUUUUUUGGUUCGACUUAACUUGUACACAAGAUCUACUACGAUCAAUGUAUAAUAAAUAAAAAUAAAUAAUUUAUAAAUUGGUAUUCACAAAAAAAAAAAAAAUUGCAAUCAUUUUGGACUAUAAUGAAGAAUUUUCGUAAUUAUUAUGACUAUCUUUAAUAUAAAAAAAUUUGGACUAAAAUUUAAAUAAAAUAAAUUAAGUUUCCAUGCCAUAAUAGUCUUAUCAAAACUUUAGGGACCAUAACAAUAUUUUACCCAACAACUUCCUUUCAAGGUGGACCCUCUUUAAAAGUUUACAAAAAAUAUUACGACAUAACAAAAUUUCUACAUGCAAACAUUUCGUAAACAUUGGGUGAUACUAAAAUUUUAUAAAGGAUAGGGAUCAAAAUGAUAUUAUCGAUUCAGUUCGGGUUUUGUUACUCUCGGUUCAAUUUCAAAUGGUUUGGUUUGGUACUUUUACAUUUUUUUAGCUUUAAAAAUAUUGAAUCGAAACUGAAAAAAACCUAACCAUUAUGCGUGUGUGUAAUUAAAUUUAAUAUAAUCAUUAUUUAUAUGGUGAUUUUUUAAAAUAAAUACGCAUAUGUCAUAGCAUCAUUUACUUGUUAUAUUUCUGAAAUCAUACCUCUAAUAUAUUCUAAAAUUUCUCCAUCUUUAGAUAUAUUAACAAUAUUUUAUCGUCACUUCGGCCUUGGCCGAAGUGGUGGGCUGCUGCCCUCACAAGCAGUUCUAGCCCCCACAAAAGCAUUGUGGGGGCUAAAUGUUCUUUAUAUUUAAAAAUAUUUCUCCCUUGCGAAAUACAAGUGGAGUAUGGACAUCCCUCUCCUGUGAGGGGUUAUUUGUCUGGGCAUCUUCUUCAUAGAAUUCAAUGUAAUAAUGUAAGUCCCAAUCAUGUAUAUCUGAUUGUAAAUAUCAGUGUAAUAUCUCUGCUACAAUAGCAGUUGUUGUAAAUAUCUGUGUAAUGCAGUCAUCUGAUGAUUAAUCAGUAUUCAAAAAAAAAAAAUAACAUUUUAUCAAAGACUUUCAACCGGAAUAAUAAUAAUAAUAAUAAUAAUAAUAAUAAUAAUAAUAAUAAUAACUAAAUACUUAUAAUCUAUAAAUGAUAAUAUUAAAAAAAUAAUAUAACCACACGCACAAACCCAGGUGGGUGCAGGUUUGAAUAGACACAGGCUGACAGGCGUAGGGAUGGCAAAAUCUGGGUCCGGGUGCGGGUUUAGCCUUUCUGGAUCUGGACCCGGACGCAUAUUUUUUAUACCGGACCCAAAAAUAAACCUGCCUUUUCCACUCCGGGCCCGGUCCAGGUUCAACCCGGGAAAAGUCGGGUUCCCAGAUUGCUGGUUUUCAACCCGGAUUGAUGAAUCCAAUUGAAAAAAAAAACUAAAUUCAAUUGAAAAAUCAAAUAGAAAUACAAAUCCAGGAUUUUAGCAAAUCAAGUACAAAUUUAGGUUUUAAACAAACCAAAUACAAAUCAGCUCGUUCAAUUCUUGGUUCAAUAUCAUCAUCAUUAUUGCUGCAUUUAAAUCAAAUCGAUCACGUUUCCAGCACUUUAAUCUAUUAACAGCAACAUCCAAGACUUUCAGUUUUCAACCCGUGAGUAGUUCUCCAGAUUUGUUGAGUGGUCGUUUUGAACCCUUCGAAACGGAUUGCCUUAUUUGUUAAAACUUCCUCCACCAAGCACUGUUCUAAUAUGUGUACGCCUGCAUCGUGUGCACUCCCCUCAAUAGCAACUAUCUCGCAUUCUUCCUUGGGAAGAGAAAGGGCAGUAUAGAACCGAUGUAACUCCUCAGAGUCCAUGUAGAGAACAGAUGAAAGACCGAAAGAGAAAGUUGAGAUGAGUAGGCGAAAGAGAUAAGAAAGUGAAAGCACUUCGGUUGAGUGAAUUAUCACAGCCAACAAUUAAAAAAUAUUUCAAAAUUAAAUAAACUAUAAAUAAUGAUGAUGAUGAACAAUCGCAUCACCGUUGGUUACCGGUCGCGCCAAAGAAGACAAGGAAACAGCGGCUGGUGAUUAUGAUGAUGAACAACCGUGAAGGUGAAAACGAUGAUUUGAUGAAGAUGAAGAUGAGCUAAAGAGGGACUGAGAGAGGAAAUGGUCGAUGCGGCUGUGAAAGUGUAAAUGAGCUAGGGUACCAUUUGGCAUUUGGGCUCUUUUUUUUCCUAUUUAUAUUAAAAAUAAAUUUAAAAAAUUAAUAUUAAAAUUAAUAAAUAUCCAGGUCCGGAUUCUGGAUAUACGGGUUCACCUGAAUUCGGAACCGGACCCGGAUAUAUGCGGAUUUUGAAAAUGGUAUCCGGAUAUCAGAUUUAUUUAAUCCGGUACGAGUUGAACCCGGUCCGAAAAAUCCAGGUUUCGUCUGGGUCCGGGUUGAAUUGCCAUCCCUAAACAAGCGUGACUGGUCAUUUUUCACUUCUCCAGACCCUCAUCGAUACCCAUAAAUAUUAGGCUCAAACUUUUUGUUCAUUUAGUUUGAACAUUACGAAAAAUAUUUAGUUUGAAGGAAAUCAUUAAUAGAAGGCUAAUUAAUAAUAGUACACAUACAAAUUAGUUAUGUCUACAAACUAGUAUGCGCAUUAACUAAGUUGAUCUGUAUGCAUCCAAUUGAUCAACUGUUUUUAAUUUAGUAUUAAAAAUCAACAAAUUAAUUUGUAAACUAAAAUAUUUAAUCUUUUGUUUCACUUACCGAUUCAAAAAUGUCAACAAAAAUUAAUUACCUGUAUAUGGUUGCUUGAUGCAGUAAAUGAGGCAUCUCCUACAUCAUGAACCUAAUUAGCUUUUAAAAACAUUAGAACUUAAGCAUAUCUAAAGAGAAAAUAAAAUUUAAAAAAAUUUGCGCACCUCUAACUUAAAAAAUAAAUAAAUAAAGUACUUUAAAAUUAUCAAAAUUUGAACACAGGCAACUUAAGUUUAACCAAAUAAUAUGGAUUUUUAAUCCAAAGCGAUGUGAUUGGAUUUGGAUGGUAGUAUUUUAAAUAACUCGGGGUGUAUUUCAAAAUCAUGGCCACUUAUCAAAUGGGCCAGAAAGGGCUGGGUUCGGUUUAUGUCGGUUGGGUUCAUCUGGCCCAAGUAACACACCCUACACAUAGUACACAAUCUCAAGUAGGCAAAAGGCAAGCUCACAAGUUGAAAAACGGGUUGAACUGGCACUCUUUUAUCUGAUUAUAUUAACUUCAACUUCACCGAAAUCAAAACCCUAGCUUUUUCACUUCAGUCUAAUCACAAUGGUGAGCGGCGAAUUUGAGAUCGGAGCCGUUCCAUUCAAUCCUGACGGCUGGGGCCCACCGGAAUCAACGGCAACCACAACCGCUGCCCUCCCUCUCCACGUGCCGUUUGCCCCCUUCUCCCGAUCCGAAAAACUUGGUCGGAUCGCGGACUGGACCCGCAACGCAUACAACAAUCCAUCAAACCGCCAAAACGCUAGCAAAAAUCCGGCCGACACCGUUUUCGACUUCUCCGCCGACGAUUCCUUUCCUCUGUCUGCCAAUCCCGACGACGACUCCUCCUUCCGUCUCGUGGACGGCAAGCCUCCACCGCGUCCGAAGUUUGGCCCUAAGUGGCGGUUUAAUCAGCACCACCGUCCUCAGUUGCCCCAGCGCCGCGACGAGGAGGUGGAGGCCCGUAAGCGCGAGGCUGAAAAAGAGCGGGCCCGACGUGACCGCCACUACAACCUCAACCGUUCUAACGUCAACCAGACCCGACGUGAAGCUGCAGUUUUCAAAUCCUCUGUCGACAUUCAGCCCGAAUGGAACAUGCUUGAUCAAAUUCCCUUCUCAACUUUUUCAAAACUUUCCUUCUCUGUUUCGGAGCCUGAAGACUUGUUAUUGUGUGGGUCCCUUGAGUACUACGACAGGUCGUACGAUCGUGUCACGCCGAAGAAUGAACGUAGGCUCGAGAGGUUUAAGUACAGGAACUUCUUCAAAGUUACUACCACUGACGAUCCAGUGAUUCGUAGACUUGCUAAUGAGGAUAAAGCAACGGUUUUUGCAACGGAUGCAAUUUUAGCAACGCUUAUGUGCGCGCCCAGGUCAGUUUAUUCGUGGGAUAUUGUGAUUCAACGAGUUGGGAAUAAGUUAUUUUUUGAUAAAAGGGAUGGGUCACAGUUAGAUUUGUUAUCUGUUCAUGAGACCUCUCAGGAGCCUUUACCUGAGGCUAAAGAUGAUAUAAAUUCUGCUUAUUCGUUGAGUGUUGAAGCAGCUUAUAUUAAUCAGAACUUUUCACAGCAAGUUUUGGUUAGGGAUGGUAAUAAGUUGACAUUUGAUGAGCCUAAUCCCUUUGCAAAUGAAGGAGAGGAGGUAGCUUCCGUAGCUUAUAGGUACAGAAGGUGGAAGCUUGACGAUGAUAUGUAUCUUGUUGCGAGGUGUGAGGUGCAGAGUGUUGUGGAUGUUAAUAAUCAGAGGUCGUUUUUGACGUUAAAUGCUCUUAAUGAGUUCGAUUCCAAGUACUCUGGUGUUGAUUGGAGGCAGAAGUUGGAGACUCAAAGGGGUGCGGUUUUAGCCACUGAGUUGAAGAACAAUGCUAAUAAGUUGGCAAAAUGGACUGCACAAUCGUUGUUGGCGAGUGCUGAUUUGAUGAAAUUGGGAUAUGUUUCAAGGGUUCAUCCACGUGAUCAUUUUAACCAUGUGAUAUUGGCUGUGAUGGGGUAUAAGCCAAAGGAUUUUGCCACCCAGAUUAACUUGAGUACUGCAAAUAUGUGGGGAAUUGUGAAGAGUAUUGUGGAUUUGUGCAUGAAGUUGAAUGAGGGGAAGUAUGUGCUUGUGAAGGAUCCAUCUAAGCCGCAAGUGAGGAUCUAUGAGGUUCCUCCAGAUGCAUUUGAGAAUGAUUAUGUGGAGGAGCCUUUGCCAGAGGAGGAGCAGGUUCAGCCACCUACUGAGAAUGCUGAAGGAGUGGAGGCAAAUGGAGCUGCAAAUGAUUUGGAUGAUGUUGUUGUUGAUGCUCAAGCUUGAUGGUAAUAUUCGCUAUUAUAUUUUAUUUAUUUUGGUUUAGCGUUUGCACUUUAAUGAGUUGUACUCUUUUAGCUACAUGUCUUCUAUAACUAUUGUUUGCAUUAAGAUUUGUAGUUUUUGUAUCUAUAAUAUAUAUGUCAAAGCAGCUGAAACAUGGUUAAUGAAUUUUUGUGGUUAAUGCUGGACAACAAUACUGAAUUCCAAGGUCAAGAUACUGGUUGUGAUAUGUUGAAUAUAUGUGAGAUGAGCUGAGAGGUUCCAGUAGUGUUUGCCUAUUUUGGCUUCUGCAUUCUAGGCAUGGUCCUUUUGGCGUUUCUGUCAUGCUAAGGAUUGAUAAGUUAAAUACUAGUAUGUCUCGGUUUCUUGCCUUAGCAUGCUGGGACUUGUUGGCCACUAGAAAAAGAGCACAUGAAAUAGGAACUAAAAGAAGAUCAAAGAAAGGACAUGAAGGGAUUUCUGUCCCUUAAUUCCAAGAGCAGAAAGGACAUAAGGACUGGAAAAGAGUGAGUUGACACUUUUGUCCUAUUACUCUGGGAUUAAGGUUGUUAUGUAACUUUUAUUAGUGGUGGCCGUUUGGAAUAAGAUGAUCCUAUGUUUCUUCUUAAAACCCUAGGAACUGAUUUUUUUAAUUUCCUUGACUGAAUACUUCAAAUGCUUGAUGUUAGGAUCAGUGAUAAGGAAUGCGUAAUUUUUCUCAGCGGUUAGCGAGAUAAGCAACUUAUGGCUCAAUUACUUCUCAAGCUGAAAUUGUCCUUUUACUCUAUUGCAAGGUUUUGAAGGUGAUCCAAGAAACAUAGUUCUUUCUUCGGAUCAAAACUUAAAAUACAAAGCAUAGAUAGAACUUCCUCUGUAAUCUUGAUCUUAGGGCAACAGGAUAAUUGUGCUUCCUGGCUGAAUUUGUAACUUGCAACAUGGCUACUAUUUUGUUUCCAUUCAUAAAAAACUAUGCUGUCUCAGUAUCUUAAAGAUUUAAUCAACUCCUUAAUUUUCAAUCGAAUAUCUUCUUCAGUGGAGUCCACUGUUUCUGUUAUACCUCGAUAUUGAACUGUUUAAUCUCUUAAAAGAGAUAAAGUGAAGGUACCCUGUUUCUUCUUAGGAUGUAUCCAACACUGUUGUUGUCUGUGGGCAACGGUUAUCUUCUUAACGGUGGCAACUAAUGCAUUUCCUACUGCAUCCAGUUCAUUGCAGUUGGUAGACUCUGAUUGUUUUUGCAUAUUCAAGCACACUGUUCUCACUGUACCACUUCCCUCCAUUGUUAACACCUGGUAGCUUGUUGUUACACUCUGACCAUUCCUUUAAUGGCUUGACCACUUCCUGAUAUGAGUUUUAGAUUCAUUUUAGUAUUAGUUGUAUUAUGUGAAUUAGUGCGAACUUUUUGAUUUGCAAAAGGUUGCUCAACCCUGUAGCGGAUUUGAAUUGCUGAUUGCUAAAUUACAAUUUGAUGAUUACAGGUCGAAGUCUUUUUUUUUUUCUGAAAACAGAUACCUGCCAGUGAGUGGUUUGCAUCAUGACAGUAGCAGACUAACAUGCUGAAAGGAUUCUGGCCCUUUUUGACCUGAUGUUUUUGAUGUUGUAAGUCAAGCAGCAGAAUACUUCAAUUAUGAUAGUGUAUGGUGCCCUUUGGAGAUCAGUGGUUAUAAUUAGUUGCCAUGACUUUUGUUGCUAUGGAUAAUGGAACCUUGUCUACAAUGAUUUUCAAGGUUUUAUGAUUAUUAUUUUUCACUUGUUUUGAAUUUUAAUUAUGAUUGAUUAUCUUUUGGCAUUGUCAUGCUUGACUUCAUUACGGAUAAACGAAGUGAACUCACUAGAUUGGUGGUGAUACUAUUAUUUAUUAUCUUGUUAUAUUGGCUGGCUGCUUUUGCCUUGUCAUCUCUUGUCAUACUUUGCACUUCGCCACAAAAUGGAUUUUACAGUCAAGACUAACUUGAGACCGAUUUAUAUAUAUGUGUGUGUGUGUGUGUGUCAUGUUUCCAUGCAUGCGUUUUUCCUUACAAGAUAACGCUAGUGUGGGAAGUUUUUCGAAGUUGGGCCAUUUAACAUUGGCAGCACAAAACUUGUUACCUACACCAAUUAAUCUUUGGAAGAGGAAGGUUGUGAAGGAUCCUGUGCGUAGAAGAUGUCAGAAUGAGAGAUCUCUUUCAAAACUGAACACAAUCUGAACCUUAAAUCGGAUUGGAUUCUGAUGGGAUGAAUAUGUCAGAUUAAUUUGGGAUAGGAUCAGACCAGGUUAAAUUCAAAUGACAAAUAUCAGUUGAAUUUGGGGGGGACGUCGAUGUGGUUACCAAUUGCCAAAGAAGGCUAAGAUUGUCUAGCCAAAUUGUGGGCAAAAGGAGAAUAAUAAGAGCAAUAAUGACAACAGAGCAUUGAUUUCCACCAAGUGUCAAUCCUUCAAGUUUAAUUGCCAUGUCUGGAAAAAGAUUCUCCAACUCCUCUCUUUCGAAGAUCAAGAAUCAAUUAGUAGAGGUGUAUGUUCAUGACAACUGAAACAAUUAGUCUUUCCUUCUUCCCAGAGGCUCGGUGCUGGCUGGUUCGGGAGUUGAUGUGGGUUUGGGGCUGCCGACUACGUUUGUGGCUGCGGGUUUGUGAAUCUGGCCAACGAUGUCAAUGCGGCUGGGUUCGUGGGUUUGGUUGGGUUCGUAGACUUUGUCUAAUUCAAGUUGACAAGUUCUUAUCCGAAUCCAAUCCAAUGCCUAGUCCUAGUAAGCAUGCUCAAAAGGUAUGGAAACUGACCGCUUUUCGUACGGUAAAUGUUGGGUGCACUUCAAGAGCUGGCAACGAGCAGAGCAUCUGAGCAUAUACUUUAGUGUGUCAGUGUAUGGUAGUAGUUCUAAUUAUAUAGUAUGAUUGUAAAUAUUAAUUGUAAUGUCUGAUGUAAUGUCAGUAAUAUCUCUGUAUAACAAACUUAAAAAAAAAAAAGUUAUAUGAUUUAACUGGAAUUCUAUGACAAAUGCAUGAAAAUAUUUGUUCAUAGAUUGGGAGUGAAAGAGUUUAUGAGAAGCUGAAACAAAACACAAAGUAAGAGAUAAAUGAAAAAAAUAAAAUAAAAAUGGUGGAAGGAUAAGCAAACAAGUAGGAGAGAGAAAUGUCAAUUAAGAAUUAUUAAUUAUAUACCAUUAGUAAAUUAUUAUUAAAAAAAUUAUGUUAAUGUGAUAUAAUCUAUACCAAAUUUAGUAAAAAAAAUUUAUGAUGUACUGCAUCAAAUAAUUCAACCGACCUCGAUCGCCAGUAAGUACCGGUUACUUGCGUCUCAACCAGGGAAGGGUUAAUGCCAUGUCAGUAAUCAACUGAGGGAUGCGUACUGAAAGAUGAUUUGGUCAAGAAUCAAGCCCAUGAAAACAUAAAAAUAAUACUAUAUUUACUUAAUUAGCAUAUUUAAUUUAUAUCUCAAUUAAAAUAAUAAAAAUUGUAUCAUUAUUUAAUUAGUUAAAGUAGUAGUUAAUCAAAAUAUAAUAUCUAACCUUCUAUAAAAGGACCAAAAUGCGGGACAGAGGAAUUACAUUUGCAGUUCCAUAUAUAAAAAGCUCAAUUACAUUAUCUAGAAAGUUAUCAUCUCCAGAGUUUUAAUUUAUUUCAUGCGUUGGAGCAAAUUUGACAUUCGCUUAGAUUUGGAAAUUUCUACUAUUAAUUUUACGCGAAAAACGAUUGAUAAAUUUUACACGACUUACCCAUCAAAUGAACCCAUUAUUUAACUUUGUCGGAAUUUAAUUAUAUUACGAUAAAUAAUAAACUUGAGUUUUCAAUUUUUAGGGUUUAAAAGAAGGAACCCUAAGGCUAAUUCUAGCUCUGAUUUAAUAUCAAUAACCCCAGUAUAAUAUUUUCUUUUCUCCUUGCCAUGUCGUUUUCUGAUUAAGUUUUCUAAGGUGUCAGAACAGAGAAAAGAUAAACAAAUAAAAAUAGAGCACAUAUAAUAAAUACACAACCUAGUUUCUAGACUCCGACGAUAAUUCGAAACCGAAAACGAAAGUGGCAAAAGCGAAAAUAGGGUUUCAUUUCUUUAUUUAUUUUAGGAAAAUUAUCAUUUUAUAUCCUGUAUUUGUUUUUGUUAAAAAUAAUAUCAAUCGUUCACUUUAAGCUGAUAAAAUAUAUCUAUCGACCACUAAAUCGUUAAUUAUCAUUUAAAAAUUAAUAUAAUUACAACGAAUUAACGAUUUUAUUCUUAAAACUUAAAUUAAAGUAAAGAAAAAUGAUCACUUAUAUAUUUUUAAAUUCUUUUAUUAUUAUUUGUGUACCUUUAAAUUAUCACUUCUAUACUUUUAAAUUCUUUUAUUAUCUAUCACUUAUAUCGUGUGGAAAAACUAAAUUACCCCUCUAAUGUCAUCACCUUUAAACAAUAACUAACAAUUUAGUAAAUAAUAGAUAUAUUUUAUCAACUUAAAAUAAAUAAUUAAUAUACUUUUAAAAUAUUAUAAUAUUUUUAAUAACGGAGGAAACUAAGGUUGCUUUAUUUUAUUUUCACUUUUCUUGUGAAACACAGGAACUUCAACGUUAAAAAUUAUUGUAACGUACAAUAUUCUUUCUUUAUCCACAAAGAGCUCGAAAUUUUAUCACUUACCAUUACUUUUUCGUUGGGCCCAUACCAAUCAUUCAUCUUAUUUACCACGGAAAUACCCACCCAGGUAUUUGGUAUGCUAGUGUAGUGUUUUUGGGAACAAUUUAGUCAUCAAGAUGUCUGGUUAUGGUGUAGCUAAUACCAAAAUUUGUAGAAGUAUCUAAAUAAAAACAAAUUGUGCGCUUUAUUUUGCUAAUAUUUUUUGUUCUAGUAAUUUCAUAGAAUUUAUAUUGGUACAGAGAUAGCUAUGUCUCAAGCCUAUAGUAAUUGCGAUUUUCUAAAUGGCUCAGCGUCUUUCCUUGGUCUGAGGAACAAACAUAGGGAUGAAACAAAAAUCUGGCAUCAGAAUCCAUGUGCUGGCUAUUUUUAACAUUGCUUUUUUGGGUUUCAACUAUCAUAGUCUAGAGUACUUUUGCACGCUUAAUUAAGUCAAUAACAGUGGAAAGUUUUCCAAUCAGCAUAAAGGAAUUCCCACAAGAAAUUGUUUGUUUUAAUAGAUUUAAUCUCUAAAAUAAAUGAGGAAAAAUUUCAGCUCAUAAAUAAACAAUUUGUCACUACAUAUGAACAACCUCAGAAAUUUUCAGAAUUAAAAAUCACUCAAAUCAUCUCUCAAAAAUUUCAGCUCAUAAAUAAAAUAAAUACCGGCAAGUGACAGAUCCGGGAGAGCAACAAUGGUUGGGCAAGUGCAGAUCCGGGAGAGCAACAACGAAGUAGCAGUAGACGAAGAUCCGAGAGAGCAAGUGCAGAUCCGAGAGAGCAAAGACUAAGUAGCAGCAGCUGGACGGAGUCGGAGUAGCAGUAGCUGGACGGAGUCGGAGCAGCAGCGGUUACGGCGGAGAAAGAGCAGCGGCAGUGGCUUGCACACCAAGAGCGACCAAGAGAGAGAUUUGCUGCAACUGGAUUGAGAAAAUUGAGGGGAAAUAGGGAGCUGCUGUGAAGAGAAAAGUGAGGGCUGCAGGGUCACGAUUUUUUGGUUGUUUUUUAAUUCAUUUUUAGUUUUAGUUUGUAAAAUUUGGAGAACAUGUUUAACUUAUUUUUUAGUUGUAUAGUUAUAAUAAUGAAUCCGGAUUUUGUGUUUUGUAAUUUAUUUUGUGAAACAAAUCCACCAAACAUGUUUUAUGUGUGUAUUAUAAAAAUGAAAACAAAAACAUAGCUUGCAAAACGGUACCAAACGGGGCCUAAGGUUCCUUUAUUUUAUUUGCACUUUUCUUGUGAAACACAGGAACUUCAACGUUAAAAAUUAUUGUAAAGUACAAUAUUCUUUCUUUAUCCACAAAGAGCUCGAAAUUUUAUCAUUCUUUCUUACUUUUUCGUUGGGCCCAUACCAAUCAUUCAUCUUAUUUACCAUUGACCAAGAGUUUUAGUAAAUAUCAUUAAUUUCCCAAAUCAAAGAAUCAACGCACUAUUUAAUUUAAUUUUAAAAAAUAAAGACGAGAGGUUCAGUAACCAGAGAAACAUCGGAAACUUCUACAUUGCCUCGCUACAUGCGCAAAAAUCCGGAGCCCACUCGCACGGUCUCACCGCUGCAUGUGAAUCUCUGAGCCACUUGUUCACAACGAUCACUUGGGAUUUAAUCACCUUGUAUUCCUAAUUAUCCUUUUAAAAUCAUCCUCCACCAGUAUAAUUUUUCCCUAGUAAGUAAAAUAACGUAUGGAACCCACUUAUUUGUCACUCUUUUUCUACACACAACACAUGUGGACAGACCUUUAAGUCUCCUUGAAUAAUAUAUACACACACUGACACUAUGGAGUCAAUUUGAGAUGUUAGAAGUUGUCUACACAUUUGACAUUGAAUAUCAGUAUUGUGAAUAUAUCAUUAGACUUUAAUAUUAGAUUUAAAAUUAAAAAAAAAAUUCAACAAAUUUUAUUUUGGACUCAACCAAACGCUAAAACAAAUUAACGAAUCAAUCUUGCAUUAUCUCAUUAUCUCUCUUCUUUUGCAUUAUGUUUGUGUCUACCUCACGGCAUAAUGCAUAACGCAUAAUGCAUAAUAAUAGCCCCACCACCAUACUAUAAAAUAAAAAUUUUAUCACAAAAAACCGCAGAUAAUCACGGCUUAAAACCCCUAUAAAUUCCCCCAAUCGGAGAUCGUUUUCACCACCUCUCUCUCGAUCUCUCACUCUCCCCCUAGUUGGCUGGCCAUCUUCUUUACUAGAGAUAAAAGAAGACUGAAAAAAAAAAAAACAAAAUGGGUAAAGCUUUACUGAUUGUUGUUCAUGUUUGUUUGGUCUUAGCCGGCUGCAGCUUCACUGUGUAUGGUGAACAGGUUUACACUGAGAGUUCCAUGGCUAUGCCACCAUCACACUACCACUCGGUAACCCCGGCAACGGCACCAGGCCAUAGCUUCACUGUGUAUGGUGAACAGGUUUACACUGAGAGUUCCAUGGCUAUGCCACCAUCACACUACCACUCGGUAACCCCGGCAACGGCACCAGGCCACCACCACCACCACCACCACCGCCGCCGCCGCAUCCGCGUCCGCCGCCGCCGCCGCCAUAUCCGCGUCCGCCGCCGCCGCCACCACCACCACCACCCCCACCCGCCGGCUCACCCAGCUUCACACGUUGCUCCUGCCCACCCACCUCCACCACACGUUGCUCCUGCUCACCCACCCACACCCACCCAUCGUUUCCCUAGGAGCCUUGUUGAAGUUCAAGGCGUCGUUUAUUGCAAGUCUUGCAAGUACGCAGGAGCUGAUACCCUCCUAGGAGCUACCGCUGUUCUAGGUCAGUUUCGAAAUCUUUCAACUUAAUUUUCCCUGCUUCAAACUCUUACAUACUUGAUUUUUUUCUAUCAUUAUUACUUCAAUUAAUUUCACAUGUAUGUUUAGUUAGAUAUCAUGCAUACAUAACAUACGUAUGGAUGCGAAUGUGCAUUUGUUUUCAUGGAUGCGUGAUGUAUACAUUUCCAGAUUUUGAAUGGAGAGAGAGAGAGGUGCUCUUGAUCUCUUUCUUUCACUUUGUUCUAGGUUUAUGUCACAUUCAGUAGGAGGCAUGGUUAUGGCAGCAUAGCUAGCUACUUUUUCCUUUUUCAAGCUCUCUUUUUGAAGUCCCUAGUAUUUAAAUUUUUUUUUAUUCUUUUAAUAUUGUCCAUGGGUUCAAUUGCAGGGGCGACUCUGAAAUUGCAGUGCAACAACACCAAGUAUCCACUCAAUGUGGUUGGCAAAACGGACAAGAACGGCUACUUCAGGAUCAAAGCACCCAAGACAAUCAUCAGCUACGGAGCUCACAAGUGCAAGCUGUUCCUAGUCACAUCACCCUCGGCUUCCUGCGCCAAACCGUCCAAUCUCCACGGUGGAGCCACCGGCGCCGUUUUGAGGCCUGAGUCACUCUCCGCAGGCAAACCUCCAGUUGCUCUCUACACCGUUGGCCCUUUGGCCUUUGAACCCAAAUGCCCACAUUAAUCUUAUUUUAAUUAUUUUACCCCCCCCUCCCCCCCCCCUCUCUCUCUAAUCUCUAUCUCUGUCUUUUGUUUCAGUCAUAUCGUAUCAUAUCCAGUGCUUUGUACCAAUCUUGUGUUGCAAACUUGUAAUGGGAAUGCCAGUCUGUUUGUUUCUAUUUGUACUGUGUCGCUUCGUUGGCAUUAAUAAAUUAUAGUAUCCCGCUAGUUUAAUUAGCAACAAAUAAAUUAUGAGGCUCAUUUUUUGAAUAUGAAUUAUAUUUAUAAAUGCAUAUGCUAUGGAUCAUGUUUUUUUUCCUUUUUUUUAAAGUUUUUGUCAUCAUAAAUGUACCCAUGUUAUAAAAUUUUACGGCGGAUCUAAAAUUAAAUGGUAAUUAUAUAUAUAUUUAAUCAAAACCAAGAAAAAGGGAAGUAAUGAAACUAAUUGAGUGGUCUGCCUAAUGGCAAACAUGAGAGACAUAGCAAUUGUUACUUUUUUCCUGGGAUACUGUUCAAAAAGAAAAGUCAAGUCCUUGGAAUUUGUUGACUCUCUUUUUUUUUACCUAGUAUUAUUAAAUUAAAUAAUCAUUUAUGUUAGUUAUUUUAAAUCUUAAUUUAUUUUGUGGCGCUGGCCCAUUGGUCAUGGAAAAUGUAAAACGACCGAAAUACAAGGUCUAUUGAGAUUUCCCGAAUGGUUAGAUCACAAUCACUUAACUAGCAUAGCACUGGACCGGUGAACUUUUACCCUCAUUACCCUCACAGAUAAUGAGGGUAAUGAGAAAUAAGAAUUAUGUAUAAUUGUGUAGAUUUAUUUGUAAGUUCUUUUCCUUAUGAAAUAAGAAUGGAGUAGAAAUAUUCUUCGUUUGUGAGGGCUAUUUAUCUGGACAAGGUACUUUAAUAGCUCCAAUUAUAUGUCUGAUUAUAAAUAUCAGUAUAAUUAUCUAUUGUAAUAACAAUUGUAAAUAUCUAAUGUAAUUCAAUAAUCUGGUGUAUUAUCGGUAUUUAAAAAAAAAACUAGGAAUGGAAGAUAAAUUGACAACCACUUAAAAUAAAAUAAAAAAUUUGAUGUAAAAAUUUUUAAUUUGUGAAAGAUAACUGCUGCGAUUAAACAUCUGCCCGAAAUGUUUUAGAUCACAAAUUUCAGAUUUUAAAAUGAUUAAAAUCACAUAUUCAUUUCAAUAGCACCUUUUUAGUGCAUAUUGUAGUUAGUUAACCGCGGUGUCCAACUUCAAAGUAAUAUAGAGCAUAUUAAAUUGCAUUCCAUAAUCGAUUUUGUACAUUUAAAGUACCACAUUAUUUUUACAAGUCAAUCACAUGUUUAUUCAUAUGCAUAUUUAGAUAGAAAAUUGGUAAAACAACACCCAAACAUCGUAUAUAUUUUCUCACAAUAAUUAUGCAUCACGUAAAAAAUAUUUCAAACGGUUUUUUUCUUUUUCUUUUUUUGGGAAAACAAAGCAACUUUGUGAGGUAAGUAGGAAUGAUGAUUAAAAUACAUUUUAAAAAUAUAAAUUUACAACUAUAAAUUGACAAAAAUGAUACGCAUCUCAUCAAUAAGCCCGCUAAAGUAAAAUAUUUGUGUAAUUCUAUCAUUAAUUCAAACUUUAAGGAGGAUCAAGCUACGGUACCACAGUGGUACCGUACCACUAUUUUUGUCUUUUUGUCAGCACAACUGUAAAUUUUUAUAGAACCCAUUUUACUCAAUUUUAUUUAAUCUUUGCUUUAUAAAUAUUAAGUUAAUUUCUACUGCAUCCAUAUGAACAUUUUACUUAGCACCUUAAACUAUUUACUAUUUACACAUUUUUAUUCUAUAUUGCACAUACAUCACAAUACCCCUCUCUUUAUCACAAUACCCACGAACCCGACUCGGAUUUUGUCUCCGUUUCCGGCCACUCCUCCGACCAAGGUUGGUACCGAUUGGAAGCUCGUGCGACGCCGGUCAUCUUCAUGCCAUCCUUGUCGCAAAAAAAAAUUCUGCUUCCUGGCUGAAUUUGUAACUUGCAACAUGGCUACUAUUUUGUUUCCAUUCAUAAAAAACUAUGCUGUCUCAGUAUCUUAAAGAUUUAAUCAACUCCUUAAUUUUCAAUCGAAUAUCUUCUUCAGUGUAGUCCACUGUUUCUGUUAUACCUCCAUAUUGAACUGUUUAAUCUUCUUAAAAGAGAUAAAGUGAAGGUACCCUGUUUCUUCUUAGGAUGUAUCCAACACUGUUGUUGUCUGUGGGCAACGGUUAUCUUCUUAACGGUGGCAACUAAUGCAUUUCCUACUGCAUCCAGUUCAUUGCAGUUGGUAGACUCUGAUUGUUUUUGCAUAUUCAAGCACACUGUACCACUUCCCUCCAUUGUUAACACCUGGUAGCUUGUUACACUCUGACCAUUCCUUUAAUGGCUUGACCACUUCCUGAUCUGAGUUUUAGAUUCAUUUUAGUAUUAGUUGUAUUAUGUGAAUUAGUGCAAACUUUUUGAUUUGCAAAAGGUUGCUCAACCCUGUAGCGGAUUUGAAUUGCUGAUUGCUAAAUUACGAUUUGAUGAUUACAGGUCGAAGUCUUUUUUUUUCUAAAAACAGAUGCCUGCCAGUGAGUGGUUUGCAUCAUGACAGUAGCAGACUAACAAGCUGAAAGGAUUCUGGCCCUUUUUGACCUGAUGUUCUUGAUGUUGUAAGUCAAGCAGCAGAAUACUUCAAUUAUGAUAGGGUAUGGUGCCCUUUGGAGAUCAGUGGUUAUAAUUAGUUGCCAUGACUUUUGUUGCUAUGGAUAAUGGAACCUUGUCUACAAUGAUUUUCAAGGUUUUAUGAUGAUUUUUUUCACUUGUUUUGAAUUUUAAUUAUGAUUGACUAUCUUUUGGCAUUGUCAUGCUUGACUUCAUUAAGGAUAAACGAAGUGAACUCGCUAGAUUGGUGGUGAUACUAUUAUUUAUUAUCUUGUUAUAUUGGCUGGCUGAUUUUACAGUCAAGACUAACUCAAGACUGAUAUAUAUAUAUGUGUGUAUGUGUGUGUGUGUGGGGGGGGGGGGGGGGGGGGGGGGGGGGGGGGGGGGGGUGGGGGUGGGUGGGUGUGGGUGUGGGUGUGUGUGGGGGAAUGUGUGUGUGGGAAGUUUUUCGAAGUUGGGUGGCAGCACAGAACUUGUUACCUACACCAAUCUUUGGAAGAACGUUGUUGAAGGAUCCUGUGCGUAGUAGAUGUCAGAAUGAGAGAUCUCUUUCAAAACUGAACACAAUCUGAACCUUAAAUCGGAUUGGAUUCUGAUGGGAUGAAUAUGUCAGAUUAAUUUGGGAUAGGAUCAGACCAGGUUAAUUCAAAUGACAAAUAUCAGUUGAAUUUGGGGGGGGACGUCGAUGUGGUUACCAAUUGCCAAAGAAGGCUAAGAUUGUCUAGCCAAAUUGUGGGCAAAAGGAGAAUAAUAAGAGCAAUAAUGACAACAAAGCAUUGAUUUCCACCAAGUGUCAAUCCUUCAAGUUUAAUUGCCAUAUCUGGAAAAAGAUUCUCCAACUCCUCUCUUUCGAAGAUCAAGAAUCAAUUAGUAGAGGUCAUGACAACUGAAACAAUUAGUCUUUCCUUCUUCCCAGAGGCUCGGUGCUGGCUGGUUCGGGAGUUGAUGUGGGUUUGGGGCUGCCGACUACGUUUGUGGCUGCGGGUUUGUGAAUCUGGCCAACGAUGUCAAUGCGGCUGGGUUCGUGGGUUUGGUUGGGUUCGUAGACUUUGUCUAAUUCAAGUUGACAAGUUCUUAUCCGAAUCCAAUCCAAUGCCUAGUCCUAGUAAGCAUGCUCAAAAGGUAUGGAAACUGACCGCUUUUCGUACGGUAAAUGUUGGGUGCACUUCAAGAGCUGGCAACGAGCAGUGAGGAAGGAGAACACACUGAAUCGGAUUCCUCUUAAUACGAAAGGCAGCAAGGCAGCAAUAUUUUGUGUAUCAAACAACUUCUUGAACUCCAUUUCCUUCAUCUAGCACAAUUGAUGAAAUAAUAAGUCAAUAACAAGCAGAGAGUCUCCUGUGAUAAUUUGAAAAGUAAAACUAUCUUUC